rnacentral:rRNA from 1 species
ACGAACGCUGGCGGCGUGCUUAACACAUGCAAGUCGCACGGAAAGGCCCUGCUUUUGUGGGGUGCUCGAGUGGCGAACGGGUGAGUAACACGUGAGUAACCUGCCCUUGACUUUGGGAUAACUUCAGGAAACUGGGGCUAAUACCGGAUAGGAGCUCCUGCUGCAUGGUGGGGGUUGGAAAGUUUCGGCGGUUGGGGAUGGACUCGCGGCUUAUCAGCUUGUUGGUGGGGUAGUGGCUUACCAAGGCUUUGACGGGUAGCCGGCCUGAGAGGGUGACCGGCCACAUUGGGACUGAGAUACGGCCCAGACUCCUACGGGAGGCAGCAGUGGGGAAUAUUGCACAAUGGGCGGAAGCCUGAUGCAGCAACGCCGCGUGCGGGAUGAAGGCCUUCGGGUUGUAAACCGCUUUCGCCUGUGACGAAGCGUGAGUGACGGUAAUGGGUAAAGAAGCACCGGCUAACUACGUG